rnacentral:rRNA from 1 species
CCUACGGGUGGCAGCAGUGGGGAAUAUUGGACAAUGGGCGAAAGCCUGAUCCAGCCAUGCCGCGUGUGUGAAGAAGGCCUUCGGGUUGUAAAGCACUUUCAGUGGGGAAGAAAGCCUUGGGGCUAAUACCCUCGAGGAAGGACAUCACCCACAGAAGAAGCACCGGCUAACUCCGUGCCAAGCAGCCGCGGUAAUACGGAGGGUGCGAGCGUUAAUCGGAAUUACUGGGCGUAAAGCGCGCGUAGGCGGUCUGAUAAGCCGGUUGUGAAAGCCCCGGGCUCAACCUGGGAACGGCAUCCGGAACUGUCAGGCUAGAGUGCAGGAGAGGAAGGUAGAAUUCCCGGUGUAGCGGUGAAAUGCGUAGAGAUCGGGAGGAAUACCAGUGGCGAAGGCGGCCUUCUGGACUGACACUGACGCUGAGGUGCGAAAGCGUGGGUAGCAAACAGGAUUAGAUACCCGAGUAGUC